rnacentral:lncRNA from 1 species
UGAUGUUUGAGGCCAUGAGAGAAACUCUAAAUAGGUCUAAGGCUCACCUGUCUUAUGGUAUAGCACUCACCCUGAUCUUUAGGAGGUUUGGAGUCUGUUUUGAGGGGGAGGCAGUCAUCAAGUUAUCACACUCUGAUACCAUCAACCGCCACUCACUGCACCGCAUGAAUUUCUCAAAGACUGAUGGCGGUUGGUCGAAGGGUGUUGAGG